rnacentral:ncRNA from 1 species
UGUUAUACGUUGAUAGAGCGCAGUAGCAGCUUUGUCCCUGUUGCAGAAAGUCAGGGGUUGAUGAGACCUGACACAUACAUGGGCUGCGAAUUACACUCUGGAGUAUCUUGGGUAAUGCCAAGCGGCAGGGCGAACGAUAUUUCGCCAAAAGCGGCAUGAGCAGCUUUUUUUCAAGCUGUUUGUGCAAGUUGGGUGGUACCACGGUUAUUCAAUCGUCCCUAUG